rnacentral:rRNA from 1 species
ACACUAUCAUUAACUGAAUCCAUAGGUUAAUGAGGCGAACCGGGGGAACUGAAACAUCUAAGUACCCCGAGGAAAAGAAAUCAACCGAGAUUCCCCCAGUAGCGGCGAGCGAACGGGGAGCAGCCCAGAGCCUGAAUCAGUGUGUGUGUUAGUGGAAGCGUCUGGAAAGGCGCGCGAUACAGGGUGACAGCCCCGUACACAAAAAUGCACAUGCUGUGAGCUCGAUGAGUAGGGCGGGACACGUGGUAUCCUGUCUGAAUAUGGGGGGACCAUCCUCCAAGGCUAAAUACUCCUGACUGACCGAUAGUGAACCAGUACCGUGAGGGAAAGGCGAAAAGAACCCCGGCGAGGGGAGUGAAAAAGAACCUGAAACCGUGUACGUACAAGCAGUGGGAGCACGCUUAGGCGUGUGACUGCGUACCUUUUGUAUAAUGGGUCAGCGACUUAUAUUCUGUAGCAAGGUUAACCGAAUAGGGGAGCCGAAGGGAAACCGAGUCUUAACUGGGCGUUAAGUUGCAGGGUAUAGACCCGAAACCCGGUGAUCUAGCCAUGGGCAGGUUGAAGGUUGGGUAACACUAACUGGAGGACCGAACCGACUAAUGUUGAAAAAUUAGCGGAUGACUUGUGGCUGGGGGUGAAAGGCCAAUCAAACCGGGAGAUAGCUGGUUCUCCCCGAAAGCUAUUUAGGUAGCGCCUCGUGAAUUCAUCUCCGGGGGUAGAGCACUGUUUCGGCAAGGGGGUCAUCCCGACUUACCAACCCGAUGCAAACUGCGAAUACCGGAGAAUGUUAUCACGGGAGACACACGGCGGGUGCUAACGUCCGUCGUGAAGAGGGAAACAACCCAGACCGCCAGCUAAGGUCCCAAAGUCAUGGUUAAGUGGGAAACGAUGUGGGAAGGCCCAGACAGCCAGGAUGUUGGCUUAGAAGCAGCCAUCAUUUAAAGAAAGCGUAAUAGCUCACUGGUCGAGUCGGCCUGCGCGGAAGAUGUAACGGGGCUAAACCAUGCACCGAAGCUGCGGCAGCGACGCUUAUGCGUUGUUGGGUAGGGGAGCGUUCUGUAAGCCUGCGAAGGUGUGCUGUGAGGCAUGCUGGAGGUAUCAGAAGUGCGAAUGCUGACAUAAGUAACGAUAAAGCGGGUGAAAAGCCCGCUCGCCGGAAGACCAAGGGUUCCUGUCCAACGUUAAUCGGGGCAGGGUGAGUCGACCCCUAAGGCGAGGCCGAAAGGCGUAGUCGAUGGGAAACAGGUUAAUAUUCCUGUACUUGGUGUUACUGCGAAGGGGGGACGGAGAAGGCUAUGUUGGCCGGGCGACGGUUGUCCCGGUUUAAGCGUGUAGGCUGGUUUUCCAGGCAAAUCCGGAAAAUCAAGGCUGAGGCGUGAUGACGAGGCACUACGGUGCUGAAGCAACAAAUGCCCUGCUUCCAGGAAAAGCCUCUAAGCAUCAGGUAACAUCAAAUCGUACCCCAAACCGACACAGGUGGUCAGGUAGAGAAUACCAAGGCGCUUGAGAGAACUCGGGUGAAGGAACUAGGCAAAAUGGUGCCGUAACUUCGGGAGAAGGCACGCUGAUAUGUAGGUGAAGUCCCUCGCGGAUGGAGCUGAAAUCAGUCGAAGAUACCAGCUGGCUGCAACUGUUUAUUAAAAACACAGCACUGUGCAAACACGAAAGUGGACGUAUACGGUGUGACGCCUGCCCGGUGCCGGAAGGUUAAUUGAUGGGGUUAGCGCAAGCGAAGCUCUUGAUCGAAGCCCCGGUAAACGGCGGCCGUAACUAUAACGGUCCUAAGGUAGCGAAAUUCCUUGUCGGGUAAGUUCCGACCUGCACGAAUGGCGUAAUGAUGGCCAGGCUGUCUCCACCCGAGACUCAGUGAAAUUGAACUCGCUGUGAAGAUGCAGUGUACCCGCGGCAAGACGGAAAGACCCCGUGAACCUUUACUAUAGCUUGACACUGAACAUUGAGCCUUGAUGUGUAGGAUAGGUGGGAGGCUUUGAAGUGUGGACGCCAGUCUGCAUGGAGCCGACCUUGAAAUACCACCCUUUAAUGUUUGAUGUUCUAACGUGGACCCGUAAUCCGGGUUGCGGACAGUGUCUGGUGGGUAGUUUGACUGGGGCGGUCUCCUCCUAAAGAGUAACGGAGGAGCACGAAGGUUGGCUAAUCCUGGUCGGACAUCAGGAGGUUAGUGCAAUGGCAUAAGCCAGCUUGACUGCGAGCGUGACGGCGCGAGCAGGUGCGAAAGCAGGUCAUAGUGAUCCGGUGGUUCUGAAUGGAAGGGCCAUCGCUCAACGGAUAAAAGGUACUCCGGGGAUAACAGGCUGAUACCGCCCAAGAGUUCAUAUCGACGGCGGUGUUUGGCACCUCGAUGUCGGCUCAUCACAUCCUGGGGCUGAAGUAGGUCCCAAGGGUAUGGCUGUUCGCCAUUUAAAGUGGUACGCGAGCUGGGUUUAGAACGUCGUGAGACAGUUCGGUCCCUAUCUGCCGUGGGCGCUGGAGAACUGAGGGGGGCUGCUCCUAGUACGAGAGGACCGGAGUGGACGCAUCACUGGUGUUCGGGUUGUCAUGCCAAUGGCACUGCCCGGUAGCUAAAUGCGGAAGAGAUAAGUGCUGAAAGCAUCUAAGCACGAAACUUGCCCCGAGAUGAGUUCUCCCUGACUCCUUGAGAGUCCUGAAGGAACGUUGAAGACGACGACGUUGAUAGGCCGGGUGUGUAAGCGCAGCGAUGCGUUGAGCUAACCGGUACUAAUG